rnacentral:rRNA from 1 species
UGUAGUAAUACAAGGCAGACGGCUCAGUAACGCGUAGUCAACCUACCCUAUGGACGGGGAUAACCUCGGGAAACUGAGAAUAAUACCCGAUAGAACAUUAUGCCUGGAAUGGUUUAUGUUUCAAAUAAUUUAUUGCCGUAGGAUGGGACUGCGGCCUAUCAGUUUGUUGGUGAGGUAAUGGCCCACCAAGACUAUUACAGGUACGGGCUCUGAGAGGAGUAGCCCGGAGAUGGGUACUGAGACACGGACCCAGGCCCUAUGGGGCGCAGCAGGCGAGAAAACUUUGCAAUGUGCGAAAGCACGACAAGGUUAAUCCGAGUGGUUUCUGCUAAAGGAACCUUUUGUCAGUCCUAGAAACACUGGUGAAUAAGGGGUGGGCAAGUUCUGGUGUCAGCCGCCGCGGUAAAACCAGCACCUCAAGUGGUCAGGAUGAUUAUUGGGCCUAAAGCAUCCGUAGCCUGCUUUGUAAGUUUUCGGUUAAAUCCAUACGCUCAACGUAUGGGCUGCCGGGAAUACUGCAAAGCUAGGGAGUGGGAGAGGUAGACGGUACUCGGUAGGAAGGGGUAAAAUCCUUUGAUCUAUUGAUGACCACCUGUGGCGAAGGCGGUCUACCAGAACACGUCCGACGGUGAGGGAUGAAAGCUGGGGGAGCAAACCGGAUUAGAUACCCGGGUAGUCCCAGCUGUAAACUAUGCAAACUCAGUGAUGCAUUGGCUUGAUGCCAAUGCAGUGCUGCAGGGAAGCCGUUAAGUUUGCCGCCUGGGAAGUACGUACGCAAGUAUGAAACUUAAAGGAAUUGGCGGGGGAGCACCACAAGGGGUGAAGCCUGCGGUUCAAUUGGA